CACGUAGGGGGCGAGCGUUGUCCGGAUUUAUUGGGCGUAAAGGGCUCGUAGGCGGCUCAGUAAGUCGGGUGUGAAACCUCCAGGCUCAACCUAGAGACGCCACUCGAUACUGCUGUGGCUAGAGUCCGGUAGGGGAGCAUGGAAUUCCUGGUGUAGCGGUGAAAUGCGCAGAUAUCAGGAGGAACACCAGUGGCGAAGGCGGUGCUCUGGGCCGGAACUGACGCUGAUGAGCGAAAGCGUGGGGAGCAAACAGG
rnacentral:rRNA from 1 species